rnacentral:lncRNA from 1 species
GGUCAGGAACACGGGAACAGUUUAGCUGAGUGGAUUUGGCUCAGGGUGUCUCAUGACGUAAUAAAAGUGUUGGCUGAGUUGCAGCUGUCUCACGUUUGACUGGAGGAGGAUCCACGACCGUGCCUCCCUCACGUGGCUGUUGGCUGGCCUCAGAGGAUCUGUUCAAGACUCACUCAUAGCCGCCUCCACAGGGCUGCCUCAUAGCCUGCAGCUGGCUCCUCCCAAAGCAAGUGGUCCAGGAGAGAAUGAGACUGCACUCAAGAAGGAAGCUAUGGUGUUUUCACAAUCUAAUCUCAGAAGUGGCAUCCCAGAAUUUCUGCCAUACUCUAUUCUUUUGAAGCAAAGUAUUCAGUCCAGCCUGCAGGCAGGGGGACCAUGUGACUACCAGGAGGUGAGGAGCACUAAGAAGUAUAUAUGUUUUUAUGAAGAUCCAUAACUCUGUAAAUGGAUAAGGGUGUGCAACAAUUGGGAAUGCUGAGCAAGGCUUUGCCCCUAUAUCCCUAUGCACUUCUGUUGGAAGAAUGUUCAAGCCUCUUCCCAAGACAGCUCCAGUGUUUGGGGAAAAUAAAGUGCUCUCCCUUGGCCUGGGCCCUUGGAUCCCAAGUGGAAAGGUGAGUCACGGAGGGAGGUGCUCUUCCUCUCUCAUGUACUAGGACUUUACUCAUUUUUGUAGCCAGAUGCCAUCACAAGGGCCGUUUGCUGGCAUUCUCAUUUUUUGGAUCAAUGGUGUCCUUCACAAUUCUGUGAAGGAAAUUUCCAUUUUCCUUCUUGAUUUAAAGUUCACAGAGUUGGUCUUUAUGCACUAUCUUGCUAUUUCCAAGUGGUUGAGGCAGGCUAAAAGCCUCUAAUCUACCAUCUUGAAAAAAAACUGUCUUAUCAAGUUUUAAACUCAUGAUCUGUGCCGUUACAUAACUCCUAGAAGAUGAGAUAUUUUCCACAUCACAAAAAUUUCCUACUAUCCAUAUUGGUUGCCAGAAACAUUAUAACCAAGCUUAAGAAAGUUACUCAUAGCCAAAUAAUUUCAAAAGCAAAAAUAUGAAAAGUCUUCAAAUAUUUGUACCGCAAAAAUUAUAUUUAUUAUUGUAUGUAGAUGCUUUUUAACGCAUUUAUUCUACUAUGUGAGGCAUCUCCAAAAUAAUUGUGUUAAACUACUGAGUUUAAUUUUGAAUCCUCAAAUAGCCUUGUAUUUUUAUUGCUUUCCUGAACCCUAGGAUGAACACAGCUUUUCCUUGAGUCUUUUCUUUGGAAACAGUCAUUUUAAAGGACUCAGAUAUAAUCUUAAAAGACAGCUAUUGGUUAGAAGAAAAAACAUAGCUAAUAUGCAUGUACACACAUAUACAUACAUUAAAUAGUUAUAACACAGUGUUUCAGGAAAAGUGGCAGAAACUUGAAAGAUCUGAUAUACUGAAGACAUUAACAAAAAAA